AUUGAACGCUGGCGGCAGGCUUAACACAUGCAAGUCGAGCGAGCGGCGGACGGGUGAGUAAUGUCUGAGAAACUGCCUGAUGGAGGGGGCUAAAUACUGGAAACGGUAGCUAAUACCGCAUACCAUCAGAUGUGCCCAGAUGGGAUUAGCUAGUAGGUGGGGUAAUGGCUCACCUAGGCGACGAGCCCUAGCUGGUCUGAUAGGAUGACCAGCCAAGAUGGAACUGAGACACGGUCCAGAAGCCUACGGGAGGCAGCAGUGGGGAAUAUUGCACAAUGGGCGCAAGCCUGAUGCAGCCAUGCCGCGUGUGUGAAGAAGGCCUUCGGGUUGUAAAGCACUUUCAGCGAGGAGGCGUUACUCGCAGAAGAAGCACAGGCUAACUCCGUGCCAGCAGCCGCGGUAAUUC
rnacentral:rRNA from 1 species